GCUUAGAGUUUGAUCCUGGCUCAGGAUGAACGCUGGCGGUAUGCUUAACACAUGCAAGUCGAACGGAGUACAUUGUACUUAGUGGCGGACGGGUGAGUAACGCGUGAGAAUCUGCCUUCAGGAUGGGGAUAACAGUGGGAAACCAAUGCUAAUACCCAAUGAGCCGAGAGGUAAAAAAUUUAUUGCCUGAAGAGGAGCUCGCGUCCGAUUAGUUAGUUGGUGGGGUAAAGGCCUACCAAGGCAGCGAUCGGUAACUGGUCUGAGAGGACGAUCGGUCACACUGGGACUGAGACACGGCCCAGACUCCUACGGGAGGCAGCAGUGGGGAAUUUUCCGCAAUGGGCGCAAGCCUGACGGAGCAAUACCGCGUGAGGGAGGAAGGCCUUUGGGUUGUAAACCUCUUUUCUUAAGGAAGAAGCUCUGACGGUACUUAAGGAAUCAGCAUCGGCUAACUCCGUGCCAGCAGCCGCGGUAAUACGGAGGAUGCAAGCGUUAUCCGGAAUUAUUGGGCGUAAAGCGUCCGUAGGCGGCAUUAUAAGUCUGCUGUCAAAGACCGCAGCUCAACUGCGGAGAGGCAGUGGAAACUGUAAAGCUAGAGUCUGGUAGGGGUAGAGGGAAUUCCCAGUGUAGCGGUGAAAUGCGUAGAGAUUGGGAAGAACACCAGUGGCGAAAGCGCUCUGCUGGGCCAGAACUGACGCUGAGGGACGAAAGCUAGGGGGGCGAAAGGGAUUAGAUACCCCUGUAGUCCUAGCUGUAAACGAUGGAUACUAGGCGUAGCUUGUAUCGACCCGAGCUGUGCCGAAGCUAACGCGUUAAGUAUCCCGCCUGGGGAGUACGCACGCAAGUGUGAAACUCAAAGGAAUUGACGGGGGCCCGCACAAGCGGUGGAGUAUGUGGUUUAAUUCGAUGCAACGCGAAGACCCUUACCAGGGCUUGACAUGUCGCGAAUCU
rnacentral:rRNA from 1 species